rnacentral:misc_RNA from 1 species
AACUUUUGGCAACGGAUCUCUUGGCUCUCGCAUCGAUGAAGAACGCAGCGAAAUGCGAUACGUAAUGUGAAUUGCAGAAUUCAGUGAAUCACCGAAUCUUUGAACGCACCUUGCGCCCCUUGGUAUUCCGAGGGGCACACCCGUUUGAGUGUCGUGAAAAUCUCAACCUUAUCGGUUUCUUCUGGACACCGAAGGAGGCUUGGACUUUGGAGGCCUUUGCUGGCGUGUCUCGCCAGCUACUCUCAAAUGACUUAGUGGGGUCCUCUUGGCCGAUCAUCGACGUGUGAUAAGAUGUUUCCAUGUCUUGGUUUAUGGCUGUGUUGCUUUUGGGACCCGCUUCUAACCGUCUCAACGAGACAACGUUCGAGCGUGUCGAACACUCUUGAACCCACGAACCCAUGACCUCAAAUCGGGUGAUACUACCCGCUGAACUUAAGCAUAUCAAAAAGCGGAGGCU